UACGGAGGGUCCAAGCGUUAUCCGGAUUUAUUGGGUUUAAAGGGUGCGUAGGCGGCCAUUUAAGUCAGCGGUGAAAUUUUGCAGCUUAACUGUAACAGUGCCGUUGAUACUGUUUGGCUAGGAUUUGGUUGUAGUGUGCGGAAUGUGUGGUGUAGCGGUGAAAUGCUUAGAUAUCACACAGAACACCGAUUGCGAAGGCAGCACACUAAGUCAUUAUUGACGCUGAGGCACGAAAGUGUGGGGAUCAAACAGGAUUAGA
rnacentral:rRNA from 1 species